rnacentral:rRNA from 1 species
GAGGCAGCAGUAGGGAAUCUUCGGCAAUGGACGAAAGUCUGACCGAGCAACGCCGCGUGAGUGAAGAAGGUUUUCGGAUCGUAAAACUCUGUUGUUAGAGAAGAACAAGGAUGAGAGUGAAAUGUUCAUCCCUUGACGGUAUCUAACCAGAAAGCCACGGCUAACUACGUGCCAGCAGCCGCGGUAAU